rnacentral:rRNA from 1 species
UACGGAGGGUGCGAGCGUUGUCCGGAAUCACUGGGCGUAAAGGGCGCGUAGGCGGCGCGGGCAGUCAACGGUGAAGGCUUGGGGCUCAACCCCGAGUCGGCCGUCGAUACUCCCGGGCUUGAGCACUGUAGAGGCAGGUGGAAUUCCGGGUGUAGCGGUGGAAUGCGUAGAGAUCCGGAAGAACACCGGUGGCGAAGGCGGCCUGCUGGGCAGUAGCUGACGCUGAGGCGCGACAGCGUGGGGAGCAAACAGG